rnacentral:rRNA from 1 species
UCGUAGUUGGAUUUUAAGAGUGAUAUGCAUAAAGGGUUUGACGCGCAGAAAAUCUGUCGUUGGAUACCUUUAAUCACUCUCCACACUAAAAAUUUUGGGUAAUACGUGUUGGCGACGCCCCUAAAAAAGGUGUGGCUAACGCAUGCGUGUUAUCCCGUUUACUUUGAGGAAAUUCGAGUGUUCAAAGCAGGCAACAUUAGUUUUGCCAAUUUUUGAAGAUCACAGCAUAGUAUAAUAGAAUAGGUUCUGAUAACAAAGAGCACAAAUACACUUUUUGGUUUUGACUUUGUUAUUGAAAAUGAUUAAUAGAAACAGCUUCACGCUUGGGGAUAUUCAUAUUUGAUUGCUAGAGGUGAAAUUCUUGGAUUUUUCAAAGAUGAACUAGUAGAUGAACUAAUGCGAAAGCAUUUAUCAAGGAUGUUUUCAUGUGAUCAAGAACGAAAGAAAAGGGAUCAAAGACGAUCAGAUACCGUUGUAAUCUUUCUAUCUGUAAACGAUGCCGACCAAAGAUGGGAAGCCCAAAAAUGGUAUUGUAAAAGAUAUCAUUUGGUUGCUAAAUUAAUUGAUUGAAUAGCAAUAUUCUUUUCAAUUUAAUGCCCUUUCCCGGAUUUUGUGAGAAAUCAUUGAGUUUUCUGGCUCUGGGGGGAGUAUGGUCGCAAGACUGAAACUUAAAGAAAUUGACGGAAUGAUACACAACGACGUGGAACCUGCGGCUUAAUUCGACUCAACACGCGAAACCUCACGAGUUUAGGACAAGCGAAGGAUUGACAGAUUGAAAGCUCUUUCUUGAAGAACGAGACCAACGCGUUUAAAUAGGUUGUGUUCAAAAUUGUGAAUUGAGGUAAUACUCAAGAUGAUUAGUGGGCGAAGCGGUUAUAUAAAAGUUCUUUACUGAAUUUUUGUGUAACUUUCGUUCGUUAUCAUUCAAUAUAAAAACCUCUAAAAAAAUUUGACGAUAAGUCAGUGGAAGUUGUUGGCAAUAACAGGUCUGUGAUGCCCUUAGAUAAAUUCGGCUGCACGCGCGUUACACUGUCAAUUUCAAAAAGUAGUUUGUAAGCUCGCUUUAGAGUUCACUUUUUGCGUAGCAAUAUGUAGAAAGCCUCUAUUCAACUUACAUACAUCCUGACUUGACAAGGUUGGGUAAUCUUUAGAACGAUUGACGUGAUUGGGAUUAUGAAUUGCAAUUAUUUCAUACAAACGAGGAAUUUCUAGUAAUCGUAGUUCAUCAAACUACGCUGACUAAGUCCCUGUCAUUUGUACACACCGCCCGUCGCUCCUACCGAUUGAAUGACGUGGUGAAAUUUUUGGAGAAGAGAUGGUUGGGUUAAACUGAUCAUCACUUCAAAGUUAAUUAAACCCUUUCAUUUAGAGGAAGGAGAAGUCGUAACAAGGUUU